AAGAGUCACCACGCGUCAGCGGGAAGAACCACAUUUCCCAGGAAUCCUUUCUCUAUGGGUUGCGUGGCUUUGGAAAUCUGUCUUUGUUGCUCUGGGAGAGGGGACUCCUGGAUGUGUCUCUGAAUAAAGACUAGCCGAAGAUACUGUGGCCUCCUGAAUAGGAAUGUCAGGAUUGGAAAUAAUGGAUGAAGAUCAAUUAAUCAAAGAAGUCUUGGAUAAAUUCCUCAAUUAUCGUGAGCAAACAUAUGAUGAAGAAUUUCUGGACACUUUUACUAAUCUUUCACAAGAGGAUCAUGUGUCCAAAAGGGGAGUGUUUGAAACUGAUUCUUCAGAAAACAUGUUUAUCUCAGCAAAAGUUACUCAUAAAAAUGAAGCAAAUGACCACCAUCUUAGAAAUAAAACCAUCUUUCUUCGUACGUCAUCACAGUGUUUGGAAGAACAGGUAGACAAUUUCCUAGAUUUAGAAGUCUUGGACAUGGAUGAAGAGAUUAAACCCCAAAUGAGCCAGGAUUCACUGCUGCUUCCAGGAGAAGUGGAGCAGAAUGUAAGCACCAGCAUUCCUUCUUGUAUCCCUUCUGUGGGCCAGCCUCCCAUUUGUGAAGCGAAGCCAAAGCCUGCUGUAAAAAGAAUGGACAAACAGAUGGAGGAGCCUGCCCCUGGAAAUGCUGGACAGCUGAAGCCACAAAGACAAAGGAGAAGAUUAGAGGCAACUGAGACCUAACCAAGUCACGGACCUGGAAGAUGAAAAGAAAACUGCUUGUCAUUCACUCUUAAUCUAUUGGCUUUGGAUGGAGUUCACUGCAACCCUAGUUCCAUGGAUUUCCUUCCCAUCCCCAGCUCCAGAAGGAGCCCUGAUUUCUAAACUGAUAAGCACAUGCCAUUCUCAUGACGAGAGUUACUGAAUGUAGUCAGCCAGUUCCUGUAUUGUGAGCUGCCCUACAAAGAAAAACUCAUGGAAAGGAACCAAGAGAAGCCUCAGACCAACAACCCAUGAGGAAUUGAGACCCUUAGUCCAACAGCCCAUGAAGAACUGAAUCCUGCCAACAAGAUGAGUGAGCUUAGAAGCGAACCUGUCCCCAGAGGAUUAAAAACAUUCCUUUUAGAAUUUUAUAACUUAAUAAGUAGGUCUAUCUUAUUUUUUACAUCCAUGUUAUUGAGUAAAAUCUCACAGCUGAAGGCGUGAGAUCCUGGCUUUGCCAGGGAGAGUUGGACCUGGAAGUGAGCCAAGUGAGGCUGCAGCUGGUGCGGGUCCACCUUCUGCACAGAGCAGCGGUGGGAAUGGUCAUCUUUGAAGGAAAACAUGAUGGAGCCUGUUGUGUCCAGUUCUGGUUCUUUGAGAGACAAGUGGUUCAGAGGAGUCUAAUGCUCCUGCUCCUUCCUUCAACUUGGAGACAUUGGCAGGCAGAACUAAAGUGCAGUUUGCUAGAAACACAACACUCUUCUGGAUGAAUGAUGGUUCUAUACAGGAUAAUGC